rnacentral:rRNA from 1 species
AUGUGGUGCGCCUACCAUGCAGUGGCUAGCACUGUUGUGAAGGCGCCCGUGCCACUGAAAAUCAAGAUCUUCCUAUGGCAGUUGCUUCAUGACCGGUUGCCCUCUCGGACAGAGGUGCUAAAGCGACACGGUCCGGGCGAUGGCCUUUGCCCCCUUUGUGGUAUCCCGGAGUCGGGAACCCACAUCCUGUUCUCUUGUGUGGCCGCACGAGCUCUUUGGUCCUUUUCCCGCGAGGCUUUAGGGCCCGACUGGGAGGCCUUGGACUUGGCAGAAUUUCUGCAAUCCAGGGCCACCCAGGCUGGCCGCAAGCGCCGCCUAUUUUGGCUUAUGUUUGCGGCGUUGAUGUGGACCUUGUGGACCACACGCAAUAAAAUGCUGAUUGAACGGAUCUUCCCGCGACGGGCCUCUGACUCUUUUUUUUAA